GGCCCUGUGGUCAAGCGGUUAAGACGGAGCCCUCUCAAGGCUCAAUCUCGGGUUCGAUUCCCGACAGGGUCACCA
rnacentral:tRNA from 1 species